ACCUAUCUCAGCGCCUUCUCCCUUUCCCGGAUAUUUAUUCUUGAGGCCCCUACACCCCUUCCCACAACCUCGCGCUCUUCCUCUUCCAUAGUUCCACCAAGAUCAAACGCCUGACGUGAACAGCCAUAUGCCAGCCCGCAGAUCUCUCCUUUUUGGAUGGCGCGCGCAGAUCUCUCCUUUUUUUGCAGCGCGCAGAUCUCUCCCGUCGAUGGUGGUUCGUACUUCACUGAAGAGUUUGUCGUUCCCUUUAGCCAUCUCCGGCGAUUCACCAUGGAAGCCAAUUCUGCUUGCCUAGCUCCGUACAAGAUCUUCUUUCCCUCACAGAUAGCAAAUUGGUAAUUGUAAAAAAAUAGGGAUGAGAUGUUUCUACUGAAGUAUUUUCAGGCACCUAUGCAGCUACAGGUUUAUAAUCCAGAUUAUGUAUGUUUGAUAUGCUUCUUCAAAACUGUAAUUUUCAUUUUGCAAAUUAAUUACCAAAUUAAUCAGUAGCACAAGUAGUUCGAUGCCAAAAUCUGUCUGAGCACUUUUAUACGUCUUUCUAUGGAAUUUUGACAGGAUUAAUAUAAAUACUUUUGCCUCUUGAUAACUCUCUUGGAUCAUCACAUUCGUUCUUAACUUCUUAUGAUGACCAAUAACAUAUUACUCGCAGAAGUUUCUCAUAGUACAAAACAAUCUUGGAUUACUACACCCCAUGAAGGAUCACUAUGAUAGUACCUUACAUCCUCAUAGUUCAUGAGCUGGCCACAACUGCUAUGAAAGAACCGUGGCAUCUGAUUUGUGUAUUCCAUGCAUGGUAUUGUUACGGGUGCUUAGGUAGUUGGUAGUUUCUACUCGCCAAAAUUGAAAAGUAUGAUGUUCUGUACUCGGCCUGAUGUUAGUAGAAAAUAACAAGACAUGCAUUCUGAGGUCCUAAUAAUGUUUGUGACC